AACGAACGCUGGCGGCAUGCCUAACACAUGCAAGUCGAACGCCCCGCAAGGGGAGUGGCGAACGGGUGAGUAACGCGUGGGAACCUACCCAGCAGUUGGGGAUAACCGCGGGAAACUGCGGCUAAUACCGAAUACGUCCUUUGGGAGAAAGAUUUAUCGCUGUUGGAGGGGCCCGCGUCGGAUUAGCUAGUUGGUGAGGUAACGGCUCACCAAGGCGACGAUCCGUAGCUGGUCUGAGAGGAUGAUCAGCCACACUGGGACUUAGACACGGCCCAGACUCCUACGGGAGGCAGCAGUGGGGAAUAUUGGACAAUGGGGGCAACCCUGAUCCAGCAAUGCCGCGUGAGUGAUGAAGGCCUUAGGGUUGUAAAGCUCUUUUACCGGGGACGAUGAUGACGGUACCCGGAGAAUAAGCCCCGGCUAACUUCGUGCCAGCAGCCGCAGUAAAAC
rnacentral:rRNA from 1 species